rnacentral:rRNA from 14 species
AAUUAAGAGCGCAUGGGGAAUGCCUAGGCUCUCAGAGGCGAUGAAGGACGUGAUAAGCUGCGAUAAGCUGCGGGGAUUGGCACAUACGAAUUGAUCCGCAGAUGUCCGAAUGGGGCAACCCAGUACAUUGAAGAUGUAUUAUCCGCAAGGAGGCGAACCCGGGGAACUGAAACAUCUAAGUACCCGGAGGAAAGGACAUCAACCGAGACUCCGUUAGUAGUGACGAGCGAACGCGGACCAGGCCAGUGGCACACAUGGAAGAACCGGAACCGUCUGGAAAGUCGGGCCUCAGCGGGUGAUAGCCCCGUACGGGUAGAAGAACGAUUGGGCCUCGAGUAGGGCGGGACACGUGAAAUCCUGUCUGAACAUGGGGGGACCACCCUCCAAGCCUAAGUACUCCUUACCGACCGAUAGUGAACCAGUACCGUGAGGGAAAGGCGAAAAGAACCCCGGAGAGGGGAGUGAAAUAGAACCUGAAACCGCAUGCGUACAAGCAGUGGGAGCAUCUUUACGAUGUGACUGCGUACCUUUUGUAUAAUGGGUC